rnacentral:rRNA from 1 species
AGUGAACGCUGGCGGUAGGCCUAACACAUGCAAGUCGAACGGCAGCACAGUAAGAGCUUGCUCUUACGGGUGGCGAGUGGCGGACGGGUGAGGAAUACAUCGGAAUCUACUUUUUCGUGGGGGAUAACGUAGGGAAACUUACGCUAAUACCGCAUACGACCUACGGGUGAAAGCAGGGGAUCUUCGGACCUUGCGCGAUUGAAUGAGCCGAUGUCGGAUUAGCUAGUUGGCGGGGUAAAGGCCCACCAAGGCGACGAUCCGUAGCUGGUCUGAGAGGAUGAUCAGCCACACUGGAACUGAGACACGGUCCAGACUCCUACGGAAGGCAGCAGUGGGUAAUAUUGGACAAUGGGCGCAAGCCUGAUCCAGCCAUACCGCGUGGGUGAAGAAGGCCUUCGGGUUGUAAAGCCCUUUUGUUGGGAAAGAAAAGCAGCAGGGAAAUACCCCGCUGUUCUGACGGUACCCAAAGAAUAAGCACCGGCUAACUUCGUG